rnacentral:rRNA from 1 species
GACGAACGCUGGCGGCGUGCUUAACACAUGCAAGUCGAACGGAAAGGCCCUGCUUUUGUGGGUUUCUCGAGUGGCGAACGGGUGAGUAACACGUGAGUAACCUGCCCUUGACUUUGGGAUAACUUCAGGAAACUGGGGCUAAUACCGGAUAGGAGCUCCUGCUGCAUGGUGGGGGUUGGAAAGUUUCGGCGGUUGGGGCUGUACUCGCUGCUUAUCAGCUUGUUUGUGUGGUAGUGGCUUACCAAGGGUUUGACGGGUAGCCGGCCUGAGAGGGUGACCGGCGACAAUGGGACUGAGAUACGGCGCAGAAUGCUACGGGAGGCAGCAGUGGGGAAUAUUGCAGAGUGGGCGGAAGCGUGAUGCAGAAACGCCGCGUGCGGGAUGACGGCCUUCGGGUUGUAAACAGCUUUCGCAUGUGACGAAGCGUGAGUGACGGUAAUGGGUAAAGAAGCACCGGCUAACUACGUG